AAUCAUAAGACGGAAGACCGUGGGCUCGAAGGGUGAAACUUGACUCUGAGUCUCUGCAUAUAAUGCCACCAAAAUUAGGGAGAGGGAAAGGAAGAGGAAGAGGAAGGGGUAUGAGUCUAGCAGGAAAGUACAAGACCAAAAGAAAAAUAGAUAUAGAAGUGGAAAGUUCGGAAUCGGAUACCCAUAGCACAGAGAAAAAGAGACAAAGAACUGGAAGUCCGAUCGAAACUGAACAAGAAAUCCAUAAACAGGACCAAGAGCCCCAAAAGACGGAACAACAAGCGUCGACGCCUCCCCUAACUGAUAGCAUACAAUCUGAUUCUUCUUC
rnacentral:lncRNA from 1 species